CAACAUGUUCAGCGCUAACUUGCACUUUUCGUUUUGUUUUAACGGGAUUUUUUUGGUUGGAUCGCAGUCCGGUUCGGACCGGUACGAUUGUAGUAACUGGUCGGCUUCUUGCAGUUGUGUUCGGUACUUGACGUACUUGGCGCGUAAGAACGGCGCGUCAUGCAACACGGUAUCGACCCACUUAGGAUCCUCUUCGAGGAACAGCGUCGUGCCACCGGGAUUAAACGCGUGCCACAUUUGUGAGUCGUGACCUAGACCGAAUACGAGGAAGUUGCAUGGCGCGCGUGCGCGUAACACGUCGAAUGAUAGCCUAAUCUCGGCUUGUGACUGUUGGGGGGUCACGCGCGAGGUGGCGUAGUGGAGGAUUGUCUCGAGCUGCGUGGUUGUGGGCUCGUAUUUGGCUCCGGCGAAAGUGCAGAGGAAAGGAGUGUUGAUGUUUAAGAGAAGGGUUGAAAUGAAUAAACCUCCGGCGAUGAGAACGGCGACGCCGAUGAUUAGGUACUUUGAUUUGUCAUUGAAGAUUAAUCUUGUGUGAGCAUUUUCCUUCAUGUUUUUCAAAUAAAUUUGAAAAAAGAAAGAGAGAGAUAUGGG
rnacentral:lncRNA from 1 species